GUGGAAUCGGUGUAUCUAAAUUUUUCUAAUAGGUAAAUUAGAAUAUUGAAUGAUUUCAGCAUACAUGUUCUUCUAUUUGUAUACCUUCUAAGGACCGUUCGCGGCUAUGUGCUAUGGAAUGAAAAUUUUCAAUCGAAAAAUUGUACGCCAUCUCAGGACGUCAGUUGAAACCACAUAUUUCGACUAGAGUUUAACGUGCAUAUCCUGACAUUCCCAUUCGAACGCCGUAGACUAAAAAUAUUCUUUCCUCCGGUAGCCGGACGAAGUGACACGACACAAGGGCCAGGAGAGGGCCGGUCAGUUCCGGUGGAGAUUGGACACGACCAUUGAGAAGAACCGGCCACUGUGACGGAACUUCCGCCGUUCUGGACAGG